rnacentral:ncRNA from 1 species
CGGGGAAAGAAGACCCUGUUGAGCUUGACUCUAGUCUGGCACGGUGAAGAGACAUGAGAGGUGUAGAAGAAGUGGGAGGCCCCCGGCGCCCCCGCGCCCCCCGCGUUCCCCCCCGCGAGGGGGGGCCGGGGCGGGGUCCGCCGGCCUCGCGGGCCGCCGGUGAAAUACCACUACUCUGAUCGUUUUUUCACUGACCCGGUGAGGCGGGGGGGCGAGCCCCGAGGGGCUCUCGCUUCUGGCGCCAAGCGCCCGGCCGCGCCGCGGCCCGCCCGGGCGCGC